GCCGCCCAUUGUGACUCGCUUGUGGGCGUGCUGGCAGCAUGUUCGAUUGUGCGUCAAGAAUUCAGCAUAGCAAGUUUGUAUGAAGGUCUAGUUAUUAAUUAGUACAUAGUUCAAUAGUAAUAUCCUCGAAAACGCUCUGGUGACAAACAAACUUUGCUGCCCUGUUUCCAAUUGUCCACAUGGCUGGGAUAACCUAUUCAAGUAGCCAGCUAACAGCCAUGGAGGAGGGUGAUAGGAUAGCAGCCCCAACUAUAAAGAGGGCUAUGAAAGCAUGUCUACAUAUGAAGUGCAGUGGUUCUCAGUCCUGGUCCUGAGGACUCAAAGGGGUGCACAUUGUUGUUUUUGCCUUAACACUGCGCAGCUGAUUCAAACGAUCAACUUAUCAUCAAGCUUCAAGUGGUAUUUCUGUAUUCAUUUGUGAUGCUAUCCUUGAUAUGAUCCUGUUAUUGUCACAUGCACAUGUGCCCAUGUAUCUAUCAAUCCAAUCUUAUCAUAAUUUAUUAGGGAUAUUAUACUUUUGUAAUCCACAAUGACCUGGUGAUGUAAAAGUCUAAUUACAUUGUCUUCCAUAUUCCUACAGAUACCUUGUAACUGGAGAUUUUUUCAAAAUGAGUGCCUACAGUUAAGGUGUAGGGUACUGCAAGGUUGGGUGACCAGGAGGGCCAUCUGGUACUGCCUCCUGGAGGAAUUCAGGUGUGUGAAGACUACCUGUGUCCUGCAUAACUUCAUGAGGAUGGACACGAGGACCAGGAGGGGAUCUGCAGCUCGCUGCCAUCUGCCAGAGGAGAAGUCUGCUGCUCUGCAGGAUGUUUCAAGGAUGGGGUCCAACAAUGCAGCAAGAGGCAAUCCUUGUGCGGGAGAUCUUCACCUCCUACUUCUUCAAAGAGGGUGCUGUUCCCUGGCAAUACCAUAGACUACACGAUGCACAAAGGUUCUUAAGAGUCAUUCACAUUGCAAUAAGAAUAUUCUUCCAUUUACUAUUCUUCCAUGUCAACUGCAGUUAUUCAAUUCCCCAGUUUCUCUCCCUUUGAUUUCUACUUCUCAGGUGAGGGUGCUGUUAAGGUAAGGGUGUGAUGUCUGUACAAAAACAGGCUAUUUUAAAUCACCCAUAUUGAAAGACACCCUAUAACCCACACACUCGUAUCAAUCUGAUUAAUGGAUUGUGUUGUGCAGUAAGCAGGCUCAGGUGUAUAACUGUGGCUCCUUGCACCUCCAAAAAUAGGCAAGAGGGCCAACCAUGGAGAACAGUAAGACACUUCAUUAUUUCUAUAACUACACUAUAUUGUUUGUUUUUCAGCAAACGUACUCUGCAGCCACUUAGUGUGGUGUGGACACCAGGUGAGGCCACACACACAGAUUCCUGUUGAACACUGUCUUUAACUACCUUAAUUUCUCAAUAAGUCUCUCUCCUUCACUUCAUCCCUCUCUCAUCUUCUCCCUAAAUCCUCUAGGUUAUCAGCUGUGUCGGUGAACCCCUCCCUCAUCUGAACUGGCUACAUGGAGGGCACAGCAUGAUCAGAGAUGAGGUCACUUAGUCAGGUCAACAGGAAGUAUUAUUAAAGAGAUGCUUAAUGUUGAAAUACAGAUAUAGAUGCAGUAGUCCCAGAGUUAAUGAUCCAAGGUCAGUUUUGCAUUUCACCUCCUGAUUAUUAUGACUAACAAGGUUAGAAUAAAAAAUUAAAACAAGGCUUAAACAUGCUAUCUGUCUCUAGUCUGCAGAUAUGUUUUGACGUGGGAGAUGCCAACCCCCAGUCCCAUCAUUGCCACCUCACCCGCUUUUAAGAUAACCUUCGGACUGUCUAGUUUCACUACUAUGUAAUUGUGAUGAACUGAGAGAAUAUUUGGGUUGCACUGUGAUUCAUUAAUCAUAUGCUGCCUUCCCUGCCCCUAUGCCUUACCUCUUUCCCUUUCUGUCUUUUACACCUCUCACCACCUCUCUUCCUGUUUUUAUAAUGCACAACAGAUGUGCAUUGAAGUACAGAUUGAACUUUUAUUUAUAAUAUGACAAUUAUAUUUAUAAUGCAUGUAUUUAUAACACUUGGAUAAUUAACUUCUUUCAAUAAAGUGUUUCACAUUC